rnacentral:rRNA from 1 species
AUGGCGAUCCUCAAGAGUUGUUCCGUCGACAGCGACGCGAGUGCCAGGGGCUUUGCUCCGGAAGAGAUCGACCUGGGCGACGACGUGCUCGCGGAGAUCAUCCUGCGCCUGCCCCUGGACUCCGUCGCGCGCUCCAGGUGCGUCUCCAAGAACUGGUGCGCCGCCAUCGCCGACGGCUAUGUCCGCCGCCGGCUCCCCCUGCACAUGUCCAUGAUCUGCUUCCCCGACGACGACGGCGACGCGCUUGGCGGCGGCGGCGGCAGCAGGCCCGUGUACGCGUGCGCGGGCGAGGGCCGCCGGCUCGAGGCCCGGGACCUCGGCUUCUUCCCGCUGCACGACAGCGUCAUCUUCUGCGACGGGUGCAACGGCCUGCUCCUCUGCCGCGCCCCCGGCUCGCCGGAGUUCUAUGUCGUGAGCCCGGUCACCAGGAGAUGGGCGGCGCUCCCGAGGCCGGCCAAGGAGCCGCGGCUCUCCGUGCUGGCGUUCGACCCGCUCGUCGGGCAGCACUACCACGUGAUCAACUUCACCGGGUGGCGCGACCGCGGCGCGGCGGUGGAGGUGUUCUCGUCGGAGACGCGGGCGUGGGCCGCGCACGACGUGGAGUUCGGCGGCGUCCCGGCGGGCUCCCUCUCCGGCUCGGUGCACUGCCACGGCGGCGCUGUGUACUUCCUCGCCUCCGACCCGGACUGCGUCGUCCGCAUGGACCUCGCCGCCGGGCUCGCGUGCACGGUCAUCGACCUCCCCGAGCCGGCGGACGGCGACGGCCGCGUCGCGCACUCCGGCGGCCGGCUGCACUACCUCUGCAGCCACAGCGGGCUACUCAAAGUCUGGUCGCUUGAGGACGACCGCCCGCGCCAGCGGUGGCGCCUGAAGCACGCCGUGAGAGUCAGCGACGUCGUGGACGGCGGCGAGGUGAGGUUCCUGGCGAUGCACCCGGAGAACCAGGCGGUGGUGUACAUAUGGUCGCCGUGGAAGGUCGUCGAGUACGACCUGGGCAAGCGAGAGAUCACCGGCGCGGCGUGGGAGUUCGGCAAGGGCGCGAGGAACCGUGUCGUCAAGACGUGGCUUGUCCCGUCCUCGUGCUACCUUUCGGAUUGCUUUGCGGACGAUGGUCCGUUACCGGCGCGCUGA